UGUACAUGUACUGAAACAUUAUAUGAUAUUCCAUUCAUAUCUAUAACUUUUAUUUUUAUGUGCCAGUUUAAAAUAUAUUAAAAAAAGAAGUAGCUUAUAGUUCCAGAUCAAAGGUACUACCCCAGAGUACAAUAAAAAUAUAGACAAAAGUAUUCAGAAGGACUGUAUUUGAACUAUGUAGGAAAGUACAGUUUUUAUAGAAUAAAGAAAGUCUGUAAGAUAAAGUUUAGAUAUUCUUAGUUCUGACACCUUCACCUUAAGAUGUAUUUGUUUCCUGACCAGGUCCUCAAAUAUUCACCUAAGACAUGGUAACUUUGGGGGAUGGAAUAAUGCUUCUUGCUAAUCAGCAUAGACAACACCCAGUGAUCUUGCAUGAAGAAACAUCCUGUUGUGAAAAGGUGAUUACUCAUUGUAUCCACAAAACAGGAGUGUGAUGUCUCUGUGAAUGUAUGUGUGCAUACAUUUAUGCCCGUGAAUGUGUGUGCUUGUGUCAAGAGGAAGUGAUGUGUGCAUGUUUUAUUACUUAGCACACUUGGAUUUUUUUAUUCAGAGAUAUUAAUAAAGGUAAAGUUGAAGGCUUAACCCCAAGACGUGAUUGUUAGUUUUGCACAGAGGAAAAUCUCUGUCUCAUGACUGUAGAUUGCACUUCUAGUCCUCAAAUGCAAUGAGAGAACAUCUAACUUAGUGGAAUCACUAGCAUGACCAGAAAGUCAACUCACUCAUAUUAUGAUGGCUAAGGAUGAUCAUUAUAAGAAGAAAAAGUUACUGUUAGAUACAGUAUUGUGAAAAAAGGAUGAAAAAUCCUCAAUCAUAUUAAGAAAGCUGAACAAUUUUACAGACUUACACACAGAUACUUUUUUCUCAGUACUAUUUUAUGUUUUUUUAAAUCUAUGUACCUGUACAGAAAAAUGCAAACAUCAUUUAGCCUUGAACAAUUCAAUAAUGUGUAUGAAAGCUAAUUAAUAGGAUUUAGUUCCACUGGGUGUGAGGUUGCAUUAGGAUUCCAAAUGACAUUUUACUUUUACUUUAUUGGGUUGUUUUAAUAUGUCAAAUGAGAAGAUGCAAGUUUCCUUACUAAUUAAUUAACUAAUUAGUACUUUGGGAAACAUGCCAGUUUUUAUGUUGCCGCCAUCAUUUUUAUUUUUAGCUCCAUCUGUUUUGUUUUAUCAAGUUGCUGUUUAAACUCUGGUACAAUACUUAGUUUGUAGCUUCAAUACUGUCCCUACUAACUUCCUGUGUUAGUUAGGUUUUCAUUGGUGUGACCAAAAUACCAGACCAGAACAACUUAGAAGAGGAAACAUUUAUUUUGAGUUAACAGUUUCAGAGGUUCAGUCCAUGGUCGGCCAGCUCCAUUGCUCUGGGCCCAAGAUGAAAUAGAACAUCAUAGCAGAAGCACACAGCAAAGGAAAGCUGCUGGCCUCAUUGUAGCUAGACAGGAAAAAGAAAGAGAGAGAGAGAAGGGGAGAUGGAGAGAGAGAGGAGCCAGAGGAACAAGAUAUAAUCACCAAUCGAACACCCACAGUGACCUACUUUGUCCAGCCAUGCCCCACCUGCCAACAUUUACUACCCAGUAAUCCAUUCAGCGUUAACCCAUCAAAUGAAUUAAUCUACUGAUUAGAUCACAGCUCUCACAAUCUAAUCAUUUUGCCUGUUAACAAGCAUACAUUGUCUCCUCUGCUUUUGGGGGACACCAUAUAAUCAAACCAUAAUACUUCCCUAAAAUGAAUACUUCAUUACUAGCCCCUAAGCCUGCUCUUUGCUCCUCAAUAUCCUAUACCAGAAAGAAUCUCUUUUUAUUUAAGGCUAGUUCAUGGUCACAUAAGAAUCUCAGAGUCUUUACAGUUCUCAUGGAUUUUUUUAGAACGUAUGGAUGGAAUCUGUCUCCAGUUGAAACCUGGAGAUUUCCUCUUGGAUUUCCCUCCCUUUUCUUGCCCUUUCCUGGGAACUGAGUUCCCAACCUCUCCCUGCCCUUUGAAUCAAAGACCAGAGGUGCACCACUGACAGAAAGUACUUGUAUUCUUCAAAGGAGAGCAUUUGUUGCUGUCAAUCACCUAUUGUAAAAUAACUCUGAUGAGUAUUAUUAAUUUUUAUGUUGAUCCUAUUUUAUUUAAUAUUAUUAUUAUUAAUAAUAAUUAAUGAUAUCAUCCUCUAUAUAGAAGGUGAGUAAAUAAAUUACAGUCUGCUCUUUAAUCCCUUUUUUCCUCAUCUGACUCAAAUUUAUGUUGAUUAAAGGUUAGAAUAAAAGUAUGCUUAAUUGGGCUGGGGUUGUGGCUCAGUGAUAGAGUGCCUGCCUAGCACAUGUGAGGUACAUUUAGUGGUUUAGUGGCUUAGUGGUUUGGAAAGCGCUUAAGAAGAAAAUACUGUUGAUUUUAGUUGUCAGUAAACUUAUUGUUUCACUUCAUCUCAGCCACAUUGAAAAACUAAAUAAAGGUAUUGGGUCCAUCUACAACUAAAAAUAUUUUUUGAAGUAAGCUUGAUUAAAUUGUGCUAUUUACCGAAUGCUACAGUUUAUGAUGUAAUAAUCAAACACUAUACAUUCUUAUGGCUAAUAUAGAAAUUUUUAUAACAAAUUAUUGUAUAUAAUAAUAAAUAAAUUUAUAACAAUAAAUGGGGAACAUCCUAGAAGGUAUGCUAAUCUAUUACCAGAAAGAAUCUCUUCUUAUUUAAGACCAGUUCAUAGUCACAUCAGAGUCUCAGAGUCUUUACAGUUCUCUGUAAAAUAAUUGUGGAAUAAGGAAUAAAAGACAUCUUUUGAGAAUAUACAGUGUGAGGAUCUCAAAGUUUGUAUUCUUUAUGUCUCUCUCCAUAAAAUAUCAUCUUUGUGGAUGAGAGCAGAUCCUUAAUAUCUUGUCCUUAGCUGUCUUUUCUCUCUGUAUCCCCAGUUGGUUUCAACCUUUCUCCCCUGCAAGCAAUUGUCUUUAUUUCAUCAUUCAGACUGAGUCUUUUGAAAGCUCAUAAAUCAACAGAAGCCAGAAAAUUACAAAUGCACACUGUAUGUUUAAUAAUAGUGCACAAUCUGAUUACUGUAAGUACAAUUUUAAAUUUUUUCUGUUCAAACAGUUUAUGUGAAUAGCAACUUCUAUUUUCUUAGACUUACUUGAGUGGAAAAAAAUCCCUUUGAAGCUACAACAGAACUUGUGGUACAAUAUUGAUUAAUUGGUAAUGCAAAUUAGCUUGUGCCUACCAUCAGAACGUGGAAAAAUAUAUUUGAGUCUGAAAGUAAGACCCUCAGUUCUGUCUGUGCACUUCCUUAGUUGGUUGAAACUCUCAAAUAUACCUCCCUUUUAACAGCGGUAAAGGUUGUUUUACCUUAUGGAAUAAAAAAAAAAAAAAGAUAAGUUGACCUUUUCCAUUUUAUCUGAAAGAAAGUGCUUAAGAAGAAAAUACUGUUGAUUUUAGUUGUCAGUAAACUUAUUGUUUCACUUCAUCUCAGCAACAUUUUCCAAACCACUAAACCACUAAAUGUUCACUGGAGACUUUCAGGUCAUGGCAAGAUGACAUAGUAAUUUGGUGCUUAAUUGAUUUAAUAUUGAGUGCCAAGAAACAAUUGAGGCUCAACCCACAAACCCCAAAUCCAUUACAUUAUCCUAUUUUGAAUGUUUAAAAAAAUAAGUAGAAGAUUUUAAAAUAGCCACUUCAUUUUAGGCUCUAUAAUGAUAGUAUGUGAAAUUAUUAAGUUGUAUAGUAUUACAGAGCUUUCAGAAGACUCAGAUUUGAGCUGAUGUAUUUCAUAAGGAAAAAUUCUUAUUUGCUUGCUAAUUUACCUGAAGAUAUUCAUCUCUAAUGUGUACUCCCAGAAAUGUAAAAAUGUUCCAUCGCAUUUCAAAUUAUCAGUAGCAGUUAAUUAAGGUUCAAAUUGCUUUGAGGAUGCUAAAAUUGAUUUUAUCAUUUUUGUCAAUUUCUUUUUAUUGUGCCAUUCCUGGGUUUAUGCCAAUAAUUUGUCAGAUGCAAUUACAUUUGUGAAUUUAAUUUUCUUUUGCACUGUAUGGCAAACUAGGUAUAUUCCCAUAUUACUAGGUGUUUUAUAGGAGUUACUCUUGAUUUUCCUUAAAAUUAUUUACUGGUUUUUCAUAUUAUUUCCCAUGAUGUCAUUUACUCUCAUAAUAUGAAUGUGGCAAUCAUUUUAGUAGUUAGAAAAGCUAUAACAAUGCAAAUAUGUACUUGGCCUUCAUUGGUCUUUAAUCCACUACUGCCAAUUUAAUCUACAUACCAGACAUUAAAUAACAACAGAAUUAAUAACAAUAAUACCUACUAUUUAUUGAACACUUACUAGGCCCUAAUCCCUGAACUUAAUACAUUGUCUUAAUUAACCUUCUUUGUAACCUGAGGAUGGCACAGUUUCUAUCUACCAUAUGGCCAAAGUGGUUGUUAAAACACUGAAGUACUUUUAUUGUGGUAGUGAAGAGCUGAUGUCCCAAGCUCCCCAAGUGUCCUUUGUACCUUUUUUCUCCAAUUUCCCAUCUUUUCUCCUGGGGAUCUCUCCAUCUUGUCCUCCCCAAAUCCAGAAACUAGAGGAUUAACAAUGGCAUGGCAGAGACCCUCUGUGACCUCUGCUCUAGCAGCCAGACUUCGUUCUGAUGUGUUGGUACCCAAGCUGUUCCAGUAGUUAAAUAUUGUGGUUAUUAGCAAAGAUGUAGAUACUAUCAUUACUGUUCUGCAGGAGGGAAAACUCAUAUAAAUAUGUAAAAGUUCAUCAGUUUGCCCAAGAUUGCCCACCUAGAAAGUGUCAGAUCCAGGACUCAAACCUAGGUCUCUCUCAAGUUAAAAUCCUUGCUCUUUUUUUGGGGGGUGGGGGUGGAGAAGUACCAGGAAUUGAACUCAGAGGUACUCAACCCUGAGCCACAUCCCCAGCCCUAUUUUGGAUUUUAUUUAGAGAUAGGGUCUCACUGAGUUGCUUAGCAUCUCCCUUUUGCUGAAACUGCUUUGAACUUGUGAUCCUCCUGUCUCAGCCUCCCAAGCUGUUGGGAUUACAGGCAUAAACCACAUCGCCUGGCAAAAUCCUUGCUCUUAACUAGUAUAGUGGACUAAAAAAUAGAGAAAACCAGCCGGUGAUUAGUGUUGACUUCCCAGGCCCCAACAUGGAUAGCUAUCUACUCUGACUACUUGUACAAUGAAUUUUAAAUUUAAUUAUGUUUUUCAUUAGGUUCUCAGCCAUAAUAAUGAGCAUGCAAGUACUAGGUUGAUAAUGGAUACUUUGCAUUAUUCCACCAGCAUCCUGUAUUUACUAAUUUAGCCCAUGUUGUAUUUUGCAAAAAUGUCUCCAUAGGUAGAAAUUACCUUCUUUAUUCAUCCCUUUUAAAAACAUUUUAAAAUGUUAUUGUAUUUUUAUACAUUUAUUUUAUUUAUAUAUUUUUAUGUGGUUCUGAGGAAAGAACCCAGUGCCUCAUAUGAGCUAGGCAAGUGCUCCACUACUGAGCUACAAUCACAGCCCCUAUUCAUCCCUUUUUGGAUGAUGCCCCCUAUUCAGACAAAUGAUUAAACACACCAAAAAUGGUAAAUUACAAACUUAACAUUUUUAUAUACUUUUAAACUUUAUUUACUUUUAUAUAAUUUUAAUAUCCCAAAUCCAAGUAUCAUAGGCUGAAACCCCUUAGCAUUAUAUUUCGCUUCUUCUCUCUUAUCUACCUUUUCUUUCUUUCCAUUGUUAAUAAAAAACCCAGUGCAAAAAUAAAAAAACCUAGCCUUCAUAUGGACAUUAUGAAGAUCCAUAAUGUCCAAGUCACUUAUAUAACUCCAUCCUUAGUAUCAGAGAAAAUUCUAAUUCUAUUAGCAUGUGUUGUAUAUUUUUUAAAGGCAGUUAGACCAACAGGUGAAUCAAAAAGUCUGCUGUCUACAAAGCACAUUUUUAUUUAGCAAAUUGCAUCAGUGCUCUGAGAACUGGAUAUACCACAUCUAUCUGCCAAAGCAGAAAAAUUUGACAAGGGAUGCAGAAAUACUUCAGGUAUGGUGAAAGAAAUGAUAGGUUUUAUGUGUAGGUGAUGUAUGGAGUGCAGAAAUUAUAAGACCUCUCCAAGGUUGGCCUAUCUGACAUUAGGGACAGGGCUAACAUGUCUUAAUGGAGGCCUAGCAUGACAACCAAAGGCAUACUGGAUCUUUCUCUGGGCAGCAUAUGUGUAUUUCUUGCUAUAAUAUUAUGAAAUAUCAUAAAUGAAGGUUUGUCCUUCAUUUCUCGACAAAUAUCUUUAUAUAUCUAGAAUCUCCAAAGUGACACAUAUCUUUUGUGUGCUAAUCAGAUGACUGGUGGCUGGAGUUUCCUCCUUAGCCUCAGGAUGGGGGCUGUUUGCCAGGGGCACAAACCUUGCAAUUAGAAGGUUGGAGCUUACAGUACCUCCACCUAACCUAGGGGAGGGGAAAAGGGCUGAGGGUUGAAUUGAUAAACCAAUAGUUAAUGAUUUGAUCAAUCAGCUUACUUAAUGAGAUGUCCUUGAAAAAAAAAAAGAGGAAAGAACUGAGUUCUGAGGGCUUUCUGAUAGCUGAACAAUGGAGGUCCCAGAAGGUGAUAUUUCUAGAGAUGGCAUGGAAGCUCUAGGCCCCUUCUCCCAUAUCUUGCCUUAGGCAUCACUUCCCUCUGUUUAUCUGUUUCCUUUUUACUAUCCCUAAUAAUAAACCCAUAAAUGAAAGUAUGUUCCCCUAUCAUAGGCAAGUAGAUUGCCACACUGGCAAAUAGAUUGGACCCAAGGAGAGUACCAUGGGAACCCUGAUUUGCAACUAGUUGGUCAGAAAAACAGGCCAUAAUCUAUGCUUAUGAUUGGAGUCUGAGGUGCUUGGCAGUCUUCUGGGACUGAACCCUCAACCUAUGGGGUCUUCCUCUAUUUCCAGGCAGAUAGUGUCAAAAUUGAAUUGAAUUAGAGGAUAGCCAGCUGGUAUCUACUGGAGAAUACACUGGAGAAGUGUUUGGUGUUGUGUAUUGGGGAGGACCCCAACAUCUAGGGUCACAGAAAUGUUCCAUGCUGUGAAGGUAUAAUGGGAGAAACUCAAAGUUUGUUUUAUUCUUAUAGCCUUUCACUUACUGGCUCAUUUGAAUUUGCAGUGGGCAUGGAUAUGUCUAAGACUUCUGGGACCAGCAGAAGAGUCAGCCAGCAGCAGCACCAAGCAACCUUACCCCAAAGCAGCAGCAGGGAUGAGAUUACCUGGUGUCUCUCCUGGGCCCUGAGCAACACCUGGGGCCCCAAGGUUGUGACCACACAGUUCUCUGAUGAUGUUUAAUCCUGGGACUUUCAGUAACAUUUAGGAAGAGAUACAGCCUGCCCCUGCAUUACCUUUCCACAGGUUAAAGGUGGAUGAAGGAAGAUCUGAGCUCCGAGAGCUGUAAGAACAAGACCAAAGCUUGACUUUUUCGUUGUCUUUCUGCUCAAAGGGAUCAAAAUUAGGGAGCAGUGGGCUGGGGUUGUAGCUCAGUGGUACGGUGCUUGCCUAGCACACGUGAGGCCCUGGGUUCAAUCCUUAGCACCACAUAAAACUGAAAUAAAGGUAUUAUGUCUACCUAUAACUAAAAAAUAAAUAUUAAAAAAGAAAAUUAGUGAGCAGUGAAAGCAGGAGCUCUUGUGGUUGCUGAGGACUGGAGCUAGCAGUGUGAGAAUCCCCUGAGGCCCUGACGGAAGGUGGAAGAAACUUGGAAGGGGAGGGCUGAAUCUCCACAAAGUACCUUAGAGAACCUAAGCCCAGGAGGCUUGUGUUAUCUUUAUUUAUUUUCAGUUAUCUUUAUUUAUUUUUUCCUAGGAACCCGGGAAUUCUCUUCAAAACAACAAAAAAAAGUUACCCAAGUUUUGAGAAGUUCUGUUCUCCUUAGAUCCACUCUCUGAAACUGAAUGGUGGAGUCAUUUAAUAGUAGUCAGGAAGAUACUGUCAGAAUGGUGAGGGGCCUCUCCCCUGCUCAUGGAAGGCCAUCAUGUUUUUACAAGUGCAGCCAACACUUCAACACAUUUAUUAAGUACCUACUGUGUAUUAGGAGCUGUAUUUUUCAUGACCAUAGUUCAAGGGAGAGGGGGAAAGGGAGGGCUACAUCACCUUGGGAACAGAUGGUUAACUUCUGGAUGUCAUCUCUGCACCCACCAUUAUGUUCACAUACUGUAGCUGAAAUGGGACCUGGUGUGCAUUCUGCCCACUAGUAAGAAUGUGCUAAUUUUGAAAUGGAAAAGUUCUGCUUGACAUUUGUCAGUGAAGAGAUUACUUAGAGAAGACUUAGAGAAAUCACUGCUUCAUAGAGGCCUGUCCAGGCAGGAUUAGAAAACCUGUUUCACCAUAUUUUGAAGUUUAUCAAACAGGAUAUUCAAUUUAGCAAAUUUCCUAACAAACUGACAUGAAAUCAGAAAUCUAUUUUAUUAAUUUACAGUGAGAAAGAAAACUUCCCAGGAGUUAGAAAGCCUGUUGUUUAAUUUCUCUUCCUCUUAUUCUCACUGAACACAAACCAAAAUAAGCCCAACUUUCAGAAGAUACCUAGAAGAAGAGGAGGUAUUUAUGCAAGUGUUGUAUUUAAUGCCAUCAUGUUAAUAGAGCCAAGUACAUGCAUUUCUGCUCCAAGGAUUACCACAAAGUAGACCAGAUAUUUGCAGAAACUAGAUGGGUUCGUUUCUUUGAGAUAACAGUUAACUGGGCUUUGAAUCUCUUUUUCCCUGUUUCUGUGACUGAUCAGAUAUCUACCAUUCUUAUCUUCAAUAUGUCAGUUAGGUGGUAGUCUAUUUUGUUUCUUUAAGAUAACUUUGUUCAUCUCUGUUGAUUUUGACCCUUUUGACCAGAUGAUGAUAUCAUUUCCCAGUCUUCAGGAUACCUCUUUAUUCGAUGUAUUUCCUCCCAUGUACUUUUUAUAAGAGUGAUUACUGAGCUUUUAGCUACUUCUUACUCUUUUCUAAAAAAUAUAUAUUUCUUAGGUAUAGGUGGACAGAAUGUCUUCAUUGCUGGGAGCCAUUAGCCAAGUAGGUAUGACAAUUUCCUUGCCAGUGUACCCCAUGUUGCUUAGUGGAAGGACUCGUGGAAAUAGGACAUUUUGCAGUGACAUUGCAUCUAAGGUGACCUUGCUCAAGGACCAGGGCGGAUCCGGGUUUAGGGUGUUCCCUAUUUAGGACAAUCCGGGUUUAGGGUGGUUCCAGGUUUAAGGUUAUUCCUGCUGGGAAUAGGGCGUAUCCUGCUGCCUGAGUUCCCCUUGAGUUCUCACGGGAUUCAGACAGUAUUUUUUGGGAGACAGAAGCCCAGUGGGGGUGGAUUUGGGCAGAGAACGUGGAUUUCCCCAGAACGUGAUUGUAGACGGCUGGUGUGAGUUCGGGAAUAAAGAGUUGCUGUUUGAAUCUACAAGCUGUGUGGUGGCUCGUGAUU
rnacentral:lncRNA from 1 species